CGACCAUUUGUGGCACUGGACAACAGGCAGCACGAACUUCUCAUCCUUCAGAGGAGGUGAGCUCUCAAGGCAAAGCUCCACCCCAGUGGAGAAAGAACAGAGGCAGCUGCUGAAGAAGCCAAGCCGGGGAACUGGCCGAAGAUGCAAGGAGGCUGCAGGGGGCACAGCUACCUGUACAGGCUCACAGGCAACACGUUUCUUCCUGAAAAAUUGGAAAAUACAGAG